rnacentral:rRNA from 1 species
CGUAGGGUGCAAGCGUUAAUCGGAAUUACUGGGCGUAAAGCGUGCGCAGGCGGUUAUGUAAGACAGGUGUGAAAUCCCCGGGCUUAACCUGGGAACUGCAUUUGUGACUGCAUAGCUAGAGUACGGUAGAGGGGGAUGGAAUUCCGCGUGUAGCAGUGAAAUGCGUAGAUAUGCGGAGGAACACCGAUGGCGAAGGCAAUCCCCUGGACCUGUACUGACGCUCAUGCACGAAAGCGUGGGGAGCAAACAGGAUUAGAUACCCUGGUAGUCCACGCCCUAAACGAUGUCAACUGGUUGUUGGGUCUUCACUGACUCAGUAACGAAGCUAACGCGUGAAGUUGACCGCCUGGGGAGUACGGCCGCAAGGUUG